CUCUUUCUUUCGAUUUUUUGUCUUUUUCCCCCGUUUCGUUUUUCCUUUUUGGCCGUAACGUGCGCGCAGGGCCGUCCCGGUGCACGUUAGAAAAAAACUUGGGGUUUCGGCGCACGUUACGCUGUGUAGAGCUACCAAGUAGCGAAGGGCUAGUCAACUAGAAGUUGAGCCAAUUAGGUUGGUAGUUGGUCAAAAUGGUCAACGGCUUUUUUUUUUAAUGAAUGGAUCGGGACCGUCUAUUUUCGGUGUUCUUAGAUGCAGCUUAGAAUAUGCCCUCUGGAUUUUUUUUUCCAUUUUCGGAUAAGAAUGGGUGGGGGGCGCCUUUUCGAGUCACAGCGCAACAGCAAUGCAUUUACCAAAUGGUCUUAAUGGGUAGACUGGCCAGUGAUAUCUUGUUGGGCGUUGCUUCCCAUUUGCGUGACGUGGCGUGGUUUGAUUGGCUUGGGGGUCGAAGUCGGUGGAAUCCAAAGACAUGGCACCGUUGGUCUUGGUGAACCUCGUCCGUUGGUCUAGGUGGUCGUGUUUUCAACAUCUGCCUCUUUUUUCUCUUCGUGGGAAGAAAAUAAGAGGAGAGUCGGCAAAGAUUCCAGAAAUAUCAUUGAUAAAAGCAAAAAAAACUCGAUUACAUGCUUAAUUUGCGCGUAUUUAGUUUUAUAAUUUUAUUUGUUGAAAUCGUGCUUACUUGAAUUUCAUUAAUGUCUAAGUUCUCAUCAUAUUUUUCCCAUAUUAAUUGCUCUCAAAUCAUCUAGCUUCUAUAUUAAGAUAAUUCUAUAUAAGGAAAAGAAAAUCAAAAUAGGGGUUUUGUUUAUUUUUAUUUUCUACCCUGCACGUGACUUGCUUAGAUAAUGAUGACAAUAAAGUCAUGGAUGGCAAUCUAUGAUUUGUCUGAUCCCCCUUUCCUUUGUUUACAUCAUCACAACUUGACACCCUAGGAUGAUCAAGCCCAUUCUCGCACUGAGCCAAGGCCUUGGGUCCUACAAGUGAGAAGAAAAAAAGAAAGAAAGUCUAGUCCACAAGAAAAUGGCCUUGAUUUGCAUACCAGUGGAUCUCAGGUUCGAACCCCUAUGGCAUAGCGUGUGUGAGAAACCCUGAAUUUUAUA